UACGUAGGGUGCAAGCGUUGUCCGGAAUUAUUGGGCGUAAAGAGCUCGUAGGCGGUUUGUCGCGUCUGCUGUGAAAAUCCAGGGCUUAACCCUGGACCUGCAGUGGGUACGGGCAGACUGGAGUGCGGUAGGGGAGAUCGGAAUUCCUGGUGUAGCGGUGAAAUGCGCAGAUAUCCGGAGGAACACCGGUGGCGAAGGCGGCUUCCUGGACCGACACUGACGCUGAGGCGCGAAAGCUAGGGGAGCAAACGGG
rnacentral:rRNA from 1 species